rnacentral:rRNA from 1 species
GAUGAACGCUGGCGGCGUGCCUAAUACAUGCAAGUCGAGCGAACAGACGAGGAGCUUGCUCCUCUGACGUUAGCGGCGGACGGGUGAGUAACACGUGGAUAACCUACCUAUAAGACUGGGAUAACUUCGGGAAACCGGAGCUAAUACCGGAUAAUCUCUUGAACCGCAUUGUUCAAUCGUAAAAGACGGUUUUGCUGUCUCUUCUCGAUGGUUCCGCGCCGCAUUAGCUAGUUGGUAAGGUAACGGCUUACCAAGGCAACGAUGCGUAGCCGACCUGAGAGGGUGAUCGGCCACACUGGAACUGAGACACGGUCCAGACGCCUACGGGAGGCAGCAGUAGGGAAUCUUCCGCAAUGGGCGAAAGCCUGACGGAGCAACGCCGCGUGAGUGAUGAAGGUCUUCGGAUCGUAAAACUCUGUUAUUAGGGAAGAACAAAUGUGUAAGUAACUAUGCACGUCUUGACGGUACCUAAUCAGAAAGCCACGGCUAACUACGUG